rnacentral:lncRNA from 1 species
AUCAAAAAGCUGAGAAAGAUAAAGAAAUAACUUAAAACAAAACAAUUAUAUCACAGUGAUUAAAUAAAACCAUACAACAAUGGUGUACAUUCAAACUAUGCAGACAACAAAUUAAUAAAUGAGGUGCUAUGAUGUAAAUAAAUCAAGAUACAUUUGUAAAUCACUUGAGUAAUUUGCAUAUAGAUAUAAGAAGAUGUGGUAUGUCAGUGCCAAUGAGACAACUCUCCAUCCAAAUCACAAUUUGUAAAACUCUGUAUUACCUUAUUUACAUUGUUUUGCAAUUUCAAGUGGGUUUGAACAAACAAGAGCUAAGAAACUGAAAAUUCUCAUAUUUUGAAUUUGAGCAUGAAAACUUUGUGCUCAGAACACCGAAUCAAGUAUUUUGAUUGGUUGGUUUCCAAGUCAAGAGUGUUAAAAUUGUAAUUGUACCAAAAUUUUAUAGGAUUAAAUAGUAAAUACUUGAAAAAAAUAUAUCAUUAUUUUACAAGUUUUGUUUGCUAAAAAAAACAAAGCUGAGUGUUUUUCUGCAUGCAGAACAAUAGACUGUUAUUGUAUAAAAAAAGAGUCUGCACUAAAUAUAAUCACAAUUAUAAAAAUAUAUUGCUUGUCUGCAAUUUUCAGCAAAAAUAUAAGUUCAAGCAGAUAUCACUCAUAAAUAUGACAUACAAUAAUAGACUAGAAGUUAUUUUGACUAACAUUAAUUACUAAUCUAACACACAAUACAUUAACAAGUAAAAUGAGUACAAUUUUGUUAAUGAACUUUUAUAUACAUAUUUACAAGAUUUUGUAACAAUAGAAAUAGAUUUUUUUUUAACAAAACAAAGAAAAAAGAAAAUAUUAAGUGCCUGCAUAAAUUUGACAAAGAUUGACACAAAAACUUCUGGCCUGUCAACUGUUUUAACUGAACACCAGUAUAUCAAUUAUUGAGAAGAUCAGUAGAUUAUGCCAUUGAGGUCAAGGCCAACUGACAUUCGUAUAGUUACAAGUCAAUUACUCCUUAUAUUAUAAUAAAUACACAUACAACAUUUUGUUAGCAAUGGAGCAUAAAGAUAUAUCAAUGCCAUAAGAUAUAUAGAAGGCAAGACAAAAACAAUCAUAUUUGAAUUAAAUGAAAACAGGCUAGUGUUACCUAACCAUUGUUUUACUUAGGCAGCAACCAUUUGAUUUUCUGGGGGGGCUAUGGUUUUUUUUUCUGGACAAAUUUUUGUUUUCGUCUGUGGCGAAAAACAAUCUAUUUUUUUCGCGACAAGUGGAAAACAUUUUUUUUCUUUUAAUUUUAGCAUUACAUAUAGUGGCAGCUGUAGGGUGAAACAAACAAUUUGUUUUUCUCAGAAUCAAAAACAAAUUAUUUUUUUCUCCAAAAACUGGAAACAAACUUUUUUUUCCAAAAAAAACCAUAGCCCCCCCCCCCCCCCCCCCAGAAAAUCAAAUGGUUGCUGCCUUACAACCAGUCAUAAAUAGCUUACAACCAAAACAAACAAUUUGGUUUUACACAAGUUUUUUUCUGAUACAUAGGCCUGCAACAAUAUUUCACAUUCAUUUAAUUUAACUGUUUCAGAAACUAAAGGACUAUGGGUAAUUUAAUAGUUUUUGAUCGUUUGUACCCCAAAAAUGAUAAUAAUGUCAUAUCAUUGGUUGAAUUUCCAUUGUAUAGGAAGUUUAAAACCCAAUCACAAUGUUUUUGUGUACAUUUUUAAGAAUGUUACAAGAAUGAGUUAGGUUCUUACAUGUAUAAGGACAAUGAAGUGUAUAUUAUCAAGGAAGAAAAGGUCUGAGAUAGUUAUAAGACUUUAGAAUACAGGAUUGAUAAAUCUUGUUUUAUUUUUUAGCUCAAUGAAUAAGGCACUGUCAUAAUGUGAUAAUGGCCAUACCUUCCAACUGUCACUAUUUGCAGGGGAUUUCCCCUAUGGAGGCUCCCAAAUUGAAAUUUUGAAAGAGCAAUUUUGUCCACAAUUUAAACAAAACAAUUAAUUUUACAAUGACUUUAGGCUUAUAGAAGUAUGAAGAAGCCAAAAAAACAACAUUAAAAUGUAUUUGCAGGCCCGCUUGAAGGUUUUUUAGGACUAUGUCAACCAUCUUGAAUGCAAAACCCCCAUGGGCAUUUUGAACAGUUGGCAGGUAUGAAUGGCUACUAAUACUUAUAUCAAUAUCAAAUGCCAUCAUGGCUUUAUACAGGAAGCACCAAUAACAAUCUCAGUAAUGCCAUCAAAAAGACUAUGAUUGUUUUCAAAAGCCAAGUAAUAUAUGGUGGUCUAGCAGUCCUAUCAGUAUUUACAGAUUUGAAGUGUAUUUACACUGCAAAUUGUUCAAUUCAUUUGCAAGAAUAACAGCAUUCAAUUGAUAAAAUGAUCGAAGUACAAUGGUCUGUUAUUAUUGUAAAUCUUGUAUCCAAUAAAAUUUGUGAGAAUGCAAAGAGAAUAUGUAACAUAACUCAAAGAAACAAAACAAAAUCUUGCAUUAGAUCAAAAUUUCAAAACCUAAUAAAAAAAUAU